rnacentral:tRNA from 1 species
GGUCGAACGAGAUAUCGGUUAUCUAAAUUCCCUUGAAAUGAAUAAAGGCAGGUUCGAAUCCUGCAUCGCCCA